rnacentral:rRNA from 1 species
UCGGGAAUUUUGGGCAAUGGGCGCAAGCCUGAUCCAGCCAUGCCGCGUGGAUGAUGAAGGCCUUAGGGUUGUAAAAUCCUUUCGCCGAGGACGAUAAUGACGGUACUCGGAGAAGAAGCUCCGGCUAACUUCGUGCCAGCAGCCGCGGUAAUACGAAGGGGGCUAGCGUUGUUCGGAUUUACUGGGCGUAAAGCGCAUGUAGGCGGGCCGUUAAGUUAGGGGUGAAAUCCCGAGGCUCAACCUCGGAACUGCCUCUAAAACUGGCGGCCUGGACCUAAGUAGAGGCAAGUGGAAUUGCGAGUGUAGAGGUGAAAUUCGUAGAUAUUCGCAGGAACACCAGUGGCGAAGGCGACUUGCUGGACUUAUGGUGACGCUGAGAUGCGAAAGCGUGGGGAGCAAACAGGAUUAGAUACCCGAGUAGUCCCUGAGCGGGCUGGCAAGGCGCAU